rnacentral:rRNA from 1 species
AAAAUUUAAAAUAAAAAUACUAAAAUAGUAAAUAAAUAUUUAUUGAAACUUAAAUAAUUUGGCGGUAUUUUAGUUCAUUUAAAGGAAUCUGUUUAAUAAUUGAUAUUCCACGAAUAAAUUUACUUAAUUUAUAAUUUUGUAUAUCGUUGUUAUAAAAAUAUUUUUUAAUAAAAUUAAUAUUUAAAAAUUAAUAAGAUAAAUUAAAUCAGAUCAAGAUGCAGAUUAUAAUUAAGAAUAUAAUGGAUUACAAUAAAUUUAUUUAAAUGAAUUUUAAUUUGUAAUAUUUAAUUGAAGGUGGAUUUAAAUGUAAUUUUAUUUAAUUUAAUAAAAUGAUUAAAAAUUAAAAUAUGC